rnacentral:rRNA from 1 species
GAUGAACGCUAGCGACAGGCUUAACACAUGCAAGUCGAGGGGCAGCACAGGUAGCAAUACCGGGUGGCGACCGGCGCACGGGUGAGUAACGCGUAUGCAACUUACCUAUCAGAGGGGGAUAACCCGGCGAAAGUCGGACUAAUACCGCAUGAAGCAGGGGCCCCGCAUGGGGAUAUUUGCUAAAGAUUCAUUGCUGAUAGAUAGGCAUGCGUUCCAUUAGGCAGUUGGCGGGGUAACGGCCCACCAAACCGACGAUGGAUAGGGGUUCUGAGAGGAAGGUCCCCCACAUUGGUACUGAGACACGGACCAAACUCCUACGGGAGGCAGCAGUGAGGAAUAUUGGUCAAUGGCCGAGAGGCUGAACCAGCCAAGUCGCGUGAGGGAUGAAGGUUCUAUGGAUCGUAAACCUCUUUUAUAAGGGAAUAAAGUGCGGGACGUGUCCCGUUUUGUAUGUACCUUAUGAAUAAGGAUCGGCUAACUCCGUGCCAGCAGCCGCGGUAAUACGGAGGAUCCGAGCGUUAUCCGGAUUUAUUGGGUUUAAAGGGUGCGUAGGCGGCCUUUUAAGUCAGCGGUGAAAGUCUGUGGCUCAACCAUAGAAUUGCCGUUGAAACUGGGGGGCUUGAGUAUGUUUGAGGCAGGCGGAAUGCGUGGUGUAGCGGUGAAAUGCAUAGAUAUCACGCAGAACCCCGAUUGCGAAGGCAGCCUGCCAAGCCAUGACUGACGCUGAUGCACGAAAGCGUGGGGAUCAAACAGGAUUAGAUACCCUGGUAGUCCACGCAGUAAACGAUGAUCACUAGCUGUUUGCGAUACACAGUAAGCGGCACAGCGAAAGCGUUAAGUGAUCCACCUGGGGAGUACGCCGGCAACGGUGAAACUCAAAGGAAUUGACGGGGGCCCGCACAAGCGGAGGAACAUGUGGUUUAAUUCGAUGAUACGCGAGGAACCUUACCCGGGUUUGAACGCAUUCGGACCGAGGUGGAAACACCUUUUCUAGCAAUAGCCGUUUGCGAGGUGCUGCAUGGUUGUCGUCAGCUCGUGCCGUGAGGUGUCGGCUUAAGUGCCAUAACGAGCGCAACCCUUGCCACUAGUUACUAACAGGUGAUGCUGAGGACUCUGGUGGGACUGCCAGCGUAAGCUGCGAGGAAGGCGGGGAUGACGUCAAAUCAGCACGGCCCUUACAUCCGGGGCGACACACGUGUUACAAUGGCGUGGACAAAGGGAGGCCACCUGGCGACAGGGAGCGAAUCCCCAAACCACGUCUCAGUUCGGAUCGGAGUCUGCAACCCGACUCCGUGAAGCUGGAUUCGCUAGUAAUCGCGCAUCAGCCAUGGCGCGGUGAAUACGUUCCCGGGCCUUGUACACACCGCCCGUCAAGCCAUGGGAGCCGGGGGUACCUGAAGUCCGUAACCGCGAGGAUCGGCCUAGGGUAAAACUGGUGACUGGGGCUAAGUC